rnacentral:rRNA from 1 species
GACGUAGGGGGCAAGCGUUGUCCGGAAUCAUUGGGCGUAAAGCGCUCGUAGGUGGAUCGGUAAGUCUGCAAGGAAAGACCUGGGCUCAACUCAGGGAACCGUGUGGAUACUAUCGAUCUUGAGGCAAUCAGAGGAUGAUGGAAUUCCCGGUGUAGCGGUGAAAUGCGUAGAUAUCAUUUGGAACGCCAAGGGCGAAAGCAGGCAGCUGGGGUUGUGCCGACGCUGAGACACGAAAGCCAGGGGAGCGAACGGG